rnacentral:rRNA from 2 species
UGGGGGAUAUUGCACAAUGGGCGAAAGCCUGAUGCAGCGACGCCGCGUGAGGGAAGACGGUCCUCAGGAUUGUAAACCUCUGUCUUCGGGGACGAUAAUGACGGUACCCGAGGAGGAAGCCACGGCUAACUACGUGCCAGCAGCCGCGGUAAUACGUAGGUGGCGAGCGUUGUCCGGAAUUACUGGGGGUAAAGGGAGCGUAGGCGGGAAGGUAAGUUGAAUGUAUAACCUAUGGGCUCAACCCAUAGUCGCGUUCAAAACUAUUUUUCUUGAGUGAAGUAGAGGUUGGCGGAAUUCCUAGUGUAGCGGUGAAAUGCGUAGAUAUUAGGAGGAACACCAGUGGCGAAGGCGGCCAACUGGGCUUUUACUGACGCUGAGGCUCGAAAGUGUGGGGAGCAAACAGG